rnacentral:rRNA from 1 species
UACGGAGGGUGCGAGCGUUGUCCGGAAUCACUGGGCGUAAAGGGCGCGUAGGCGGCCUGAUAAGUAGGGGGUGAAAUCCUGCGGCUUAACCGCAGGGCUGCCUUCUAAACUGUCAGGCUCGAGCGCAGUAGAGGCAGGUGGAAUUCCCGGUGUAGCGGUGGAAUGCGUAGAGAUCGGGAAGAACAUCAGUGGCGAAGGCGGCCUGCUGGGCUGUUGCUGACGCUGAGGCGCGACAGCGUGGGGAGCAAACAGGG